GAUUUGUAAGCGAACAUGUGUAAGCCUUCGCCUCAGCCUAGAAUUGCAUUUCGUAACUGACGACUAGAGUCUGUAGACGCGUAGAUUCCAGGCGUAGUGUGAAUGGAGACAUCGGAUGUAAUCCCGGUGGCGACGGCGGCCCUCGGACAUAGACUCAGCUCUGCACGAAAGCGUGCGGAGCAAACAGGAUUACAUCCCGUGGUAGUCCCAUCCGUAAACGAUGUCCACUAUGAGUUUGGUGUCUUGAACACUGGGCUCUCAAGCUAACGCAUUCAGUAGACCGCUUGGGGAGUGCGGUCGCAAGGUUAAAACUCAAAUGAACUGACGCGCGCCCGCACAACCGGUGGAGCAUGUGGUUUUAUUCGAUGCAACGUGAAGAACCUUACUUACUCUUGACAUCCACGGAAGUCUGCAGAGAUGCGGUUGUGCCUUCGGGAACCGUGAGACAGGUCCUGCAUGGCUGUCGUCAGCUCGUGUUGUGAAAUGUUGCGUUAAGUCCCGCAACGAGCGCAACCCCUAUCGUUAUUUGCCAGCACGUAAUGGUGGGAACUCUAGGGAGACUUCCGGUUAUAAACCGGAGGAAGGUGGGGACGACGUCAAGUCAUCAUGGCCCUUACGAGUAGGUCUUCACACGUGUUACAAUGGCGAGUACAGAGGGUUGCAGAGCCGCGAGGUGGAGCUAAUCUCACAAAGCUCGUAGUAGUCCGGAUUGGAGUCUGCAACUGGACUCCAUGAAGUCGGAAUCGCUAGUAAUCGAGGAUCAGAAUGCCACGGUGAAUACGUUCCCGGGCCUUGUACACACCGCCCGUCACACCAUGGGAGUGGUCUGCAAAAGAAGUGGGUAGCUUAACCUUCGGGGGGGCGCUCACCACUUUGUGGUCCAUGACAGGGGCGAAGUCGUAACAAGGUAACCA
rnacentral:rRNA from 1 species